rnacentral:tRNA from 1 species
UGGGUGGUGGCGGUGGCGACCACCGACCGUUCCCAGCGAUCGGGCGGCAGGAAAUUAUCGCCGGCGUCGCGUUCGAACCACAGCACCCGG